rnacentral:rRNA from 1 species
CAUCACUACGCUAGAUGCAUAUCAAUAAGCGGAGGAAAAGAAACUAACAAGGAUUCCCUUAGUAACGGCGAGUGAAGCGGGAAGAGCUCAAAUCUGAAAUCUUCAAGGUUCUACCUUGACGAAUUGUAGUUUAAAGAAGUGUUUUCUGUUAGUGGAGUUGGCUAAAAGUUCUUUGGAAUAGGACAUCAUAGAGGGUGAGAAUCCCGUAUUUGGUACCAUUCCUUCCUAGCUGUUGUGAUACACUUUCAACGGAGUCGGAUUGUUUGGGAAUGCAGUCCAAAAUGGGUGGUAAAGUUUCAUCUAAAGCUAAAUAUUGGCGAGAGACCGAUAGCGAACAAGUACCGUGAGGGAAAGAUGAGAAGAACUUUGAAAAGAGAGUUAAACAGUACGUGAAAUUGUCAAAAGGGAAGCGUUUGACACCAGUGUUGUUUUCUCGAAAAUCAAUUAAGAAGAGCCGGAUUUUGUGUUGUUAAGACUUUAUCAGCUUACUGCACUUUUUUCUUGUUCUUUUUAAUGCACUUUUCGUUUAACAAGUCAACAUCAAUUUCUUUUGUUGUAAAAGGGUAUGAGGAAGGUGGCUUUCUUUUCGGAGAAAGUGUUUAUAGCCUUGUACCUCUGCAAUCGGAGAGAUUGAGGUCUGCAGCGUAGAUCCUUCGGGGUUAGAUACAUUUGUGCUAAGUUAUAGCUUUUCAUAGACAACUUGUUGACUAUGUUAAGUCUUGUAGCUUACUCGCUUAUGCUAUUUUACCUACGCUUAGGAUGUUGAUAUGCAUGACUGAUAU